UACAGAGGGUGCGAGCGUUGUUCGGAAUUACUGGGCGUAAAGCGCGCGCAGGCGGCUUCUUAAGUCCAUCGGUGAAAUGCCGGGGCUCAACCCCGAAGCAGGCCGAGGAUACUGGGAGGCUGGAGACGAGUAGAGGCAAGCGGAAUUCCGGGUGUAGCGGUGGAAUGCGUAGAGAUCCGGAAGAACACCGGAGGCGAAGGCGGCUUGCUGGGCCGAUACUGACGCUGGAGGCGACGGAAAGCCAGGGGGAGCAAACGGG
rnacentral:rRNA from 1 species